rnacentral:rRNA from 1 species
CACUCCUACGGGAGGCAGCAGUGGGGAAUAUUGGACAAUGGGCGCAAGCCUGAUCCAGCCAUGCCGCGUGAGUGAUGAAGGCCCUAGGGUUGUAAAGCUCUUUCACCGGUGAAGAUAAUGACGGUAACCGGAGAAGAAGCCCCGGCUAACUUCGUGCCAGCAGCCGCGGUAAUACGAAGGGGGCUAGCGUUGUUCGGAUUUACUGGGCGUAAAGCGCACGUAGGCGGACUAUUAAGUCAGGGGUGAAAUCCCGGGGCUCAACCCCGGAACUGCCUUUGAUACUGGUAGUCUUGAGUUCGAGAGAGGUGAGUGGAAUUCCGAGUGUAGAGGUGAAAUUCGUAGAUAUUCGGAGGAACACCAGUGGCGAAGGCGGCUCACUGGCUCGAUACUGACGCUGAGGUGCGAAAGCGUGGGGAGCAAACAGGAUUAGAAACCCGUGUAGUCC